rnacentral:rRNA from 1 species
UUGGAUGAGCUCGCGCGGCCUAUCAGCUUGUUGGUGAGGUAAUGGCUCACCAAGGCGACGACGGGUAGCCGGCCUGAGAGGGCGACCGGCCACACUGGGACUGAGACACGGCCCAGACUCCUACGGGAGGCAGCAGUGGGGAAUAUUGCACAAUGGGCGAAAGCCUGAUGCAGCGACGCCGCGUGAGGGAUGACGGCCUUCGGGUUGUAAACCUCUUUCAGCAGGGAAGAAGCGAAAGUGACGGUACCUGCAGAUGAUGGCCCGGCUAACUACGUGCCAGCAGGCCGCGGCCG